rnacentral:misc_RNA from 1 species
UGAUUACGUCCCUGCCCUUUGUACGCACCGCCCGUCGCUACUACCGAUUGGAUGACUUAGUGAGGUCUUAGGACCGAGGCGAAGGUGCUUUAACGAGUGCCUACGCUUUGGAAAUUUGAUCGAACUAAGUUAUCUAGAGGAAGUAAAAGUCGUAACAAGGUUUCCGUAGGUGAACCUGCGGAAGGAUCAUUAUCGAGAAAGCUGAAAAGUUACUUUCUCAAAGAGAAAUCAGACUAUUCGGUCCGACUUGAUUCGCGGUAAGGCGCACUAUAGCGCGAGAGCCCGCAGCCGGUUCCGAUAGUCUGGACCCGAGAAAUAGUAAGAACGACGGUGUCGUCAAAUCUCGGUUACUAGUAUAUCGAGACUGAUCGGUCGGUCGAGUUUAUUUCGGUUUCUUUGAGGUUAUUCGGGCAGUGUCGGUUGUAGCGGAGUUUGGAUACCUACCCGACUGUCCUUAUAAUCUCGUGAAUUUGAGCCGGAGAGAACUCGACUGAGAACGACUGACUAAGUCUCGAUACGCUCGGAAAUAUAUAUAACUGAGUGGAACGAAAAGACCUCACUGUUACUUACUAUAUUAUCAGACGUCCCGGGAAGCAUUGCAGUCGAAUUAUAGGGUACCUGUAUAGGGACCCUGUUCUGUAACGGCUUCUUAUUCGGGUACCUAUCGAAUACUAACGCCGCGGUUUUCCGUCUGGCCGCGAUGGAAUAAGCGUUAGAUUCGGCAUCCCUAUAUUCGUAUUCGACUAGUCGUGAAAAGUGCCCUUGUCCGGGCGAAGACUGUCGAUCGGAAAGACGCGAAUUAGGGGUAGGUUUAAAGAGUCAUUGGUUCCGCAUACGGGAGAAAAAUACCCGUUAGUGGAACGACCAUUGACGCGAGUUUGAUAGUAUACAAUAUACGCGAGAAACGAGGUCUGUACCUAGGAUUUUUAAGGCACUAGAAAAAUGACCCGGUCUCUCGUGUGUGUGUGUAUUACUCGCUGAAUGGUUCAGGACAUGGUGAAUUUUAUGUCCGGAUGACCGCCCGAAAUAGAAAUAUUUACUCAAAAAUUUCAAUGUAUAGUUCGCCGAGUAAUAGCGAACAUAAUCGAAUCAUUCGUGAUUCCAUUCUAAGCGGUGGAUCACUAGGCUCGCGGGUCGAUGAAGAACGGGGCCAGCCCCGAGAAUAAGUGCGAAUUGCAGACACAAAGAGCAUCGACUAUUCGAACGCACAUUGCGGUACCGGGCCAGCUCGGUACCACGCCUAUCUGAGGGUCGAAUAAGAGCCUUACUGAUAUCGAUAUUAAUAGACGUUAGUAGUACCCGGAAAACUAUACACCGAGUUACGGAGCUAAUAAGCGAAUGUUCCGAAUGCGGAAAUAGUAUUCGGACAUUAGCUAGUUAGCAUGGAAUUAGCCGUGUCGGUGCGGGUACGAACGCGCUAGUGAAUAUCGGACUUGAGACUGAAAUACGUCGUUAAGUCCCGAGGGUCUCCUUGGUAUACUUGAAUAUAUUUAGUGUACCACGAGAGAACCAGAUGAACGGGAACGAUUCUGAGCGAAUUAUCGAGUCGUACCGUUCGGGUAGAAAUGCUCCAGUACUACGUGAACGAAUAGGGAACUCCGAUUAUACCAGCCUUCGCCGUUUCGAAAUAUAAUAAACGGUCGGAUAUAUGAGGGCUCAGUAUACGAGUUAAUUCCUUUAGUAGGAAAGAGCAUAGAAUCUUGAAAAUCGACCUCAGAUUAGACGAGAUUACCCGCCGAAUUUAAGCAUAUAAUUAGGCGGAGGAAAAGAAAUUAACGAAGAUUUCCUUAGUAACGGCGAGUGAAAAAUCA